rnacentral:rRNA from 1 species
UACGGGGGGGGUAAGCGUUGUUCGGAAUUACUGGGCGUAAAGGGCUCGUAGGCGGCCAACUAAGUCAUACGUGAAAUCCCUCAGCUUAACUGGGGAACUGCGUGUGAUACUGGAUGGCUUGGAUUUGGGAGAGGGAUGCGGAAUUCCAGGUGUAGCGGUGAAAUGCGUAGAUAUCUGGAGGAACACCGGUGGCGAAGGCGGCAUCCUGGACCAAUAUUGACGCUGAGGAGCGAAAGCCAGGGGAG